GGACGCAGUCUGAUCGCUCGCAGCAACGCGCGCGUGUAGUGAAGAAGGUCUUCGGAUCGUAAAGAUACUAGUUAGUCAGAGAAGAACACGGGAUAAAGUAACUAUUGUGCCGCUGACGGUAUCUGACCAGCAAGUCACGGCUAACUACGUGCCAGCAGCCGCGGUAAUA
rnacentral:rRNA from 1 species